rnacentral:rRNA from 1 species
GUACGGCCGCAAGGUUAAAACUCAAAUGAAUUGACGGGGGCCCGCACAAGCGGUGGAGCAUGUGGUUUAAUUCGAUGCAACGCGAAGAACCUUACCUGGUCUUGACAUCCACGGAAGUUUUCAGAGAUGAGAAUGUGCCUUCGGGAACCGUGAGACAGGUGCUGCAUGGCUGUCGUCAGCUCGUGUUGUGAAAUGUUGGGUUAAGUCCCGCAACGAGCGCAACCCUUAUCCUUUGUUGCCAGCGGUCCGGCCGGGAACUCAAAGGAGACUGCCAGUGAUAAACUGGAGGAAGGUGGGGAUGACGUCAAGUCAUCAUGGCCCUUACGACCAGGGCUACACACGUGCUACAAU